rnacentral:rRNA from 1 species
GAUGAACGCUGGCGGCGUGCCUAACACAUGCAAGUCGAACGAAGCACUUCGAUUUCUUCGGAAUGAAAAAGUGACUGAGUGGCGGACGGGUGAGUAACGCGUGGGUAACCUGCCUCAUACAGGGGGAUAACAGUUAGAAAUGACUGCUAAUACCGCAUAAGCGCACAGUAUCGCAUGAUACAGUGUGAAAAACUCCGGUGGUAUGAGAUGGACCCGCGUCUGAUUAGCUAGUUGGUGAGGUAAUGGCUCACCAAGGCGACGAUCAGUAGCCGGCCUGAGAGGGUGAUCGGCCACAUUGGGACUGAGACACGGACCAGACUCCUACGGGAGCAGCAGUGAGGAUAUUAGGUCAAUGGGCGAGAGCCUGAACCAGCCAAGUCGCGUGAGGGAAGACGGUACU